rnacentral:rRNA from 1 species
AGUGAACGCUGGCGGUAGGCCUAACACAUGCAAGUCGAACGGCAGCACAGUAAGAGCUUGCUCUUACGGGUGGCGAGUGGCGGACGGGUGAGGAAUACAUCGGAAUCUACUUUUUCGUGGGGGAUAACGUAGGGAAACUUACGCUAAUACCGCAUACGACCUACGGGUGAAAGCAGGGGAUCUUCGGACCUUGCGCGAUUGAAUGAGCCGAUGUCGGAUUAGCUAGUUGGCGGGGUAAAGGCCCACCAAGGCGACGAUCCGUAGCUGGUCUGAGAGGAUGAUCAGCCACACUGGAACUGAGACACGGUCCAGACUCCUACGUGAGGCAGCAGUGGGGAAUAUUGGACAAUGGGCGCAAGCCUGAUCCAGCCAUACCGCGUGGGUGAAGAAGGCCUUCGGGUUGUAAAGCCCUUUUGUUGGGAAGGAAAAGCAGCAGGUUAAUACCCCGCUGUUCUGACGGUACCCAAAGAAUAAGCACCGGCUAACUUCGUG